rnacentral:rRNA from 1 species
GAUGAACGCUAGCGGCAGGCUUAAUACAUGCAAGUCGAGGGGCAGCAUGACUGUAGCAAUACAGUUGAUGGCGACCGGCAAACGGGUGCGGAACACGUACAGAACCUUCCUUCGAGCGGGGAAUAGCCCAGAGAAAUUUGGAUUAAUACCCCAUAGCAUAACGGAGUGGCAUCACUUUGUUAUUAAAGAUUUAUCGCUUGAGGAUGGCUGUGCGGCUGAUUAGGUAGUUGGCGGGGUAACGGCCCACCAAGCCUGCGAUCAGUAACUGGUGUGAGAGCACGACCAGUCACACGGGCACUGAGACACGGGCCCGACUCCUACGGGAGGCAGCAGUAAGGAAUAUUGGUCAAUGGACGAAAGUCUGAACCAGCCAUGCCGCGUGGAGGAUGAAGGUCCUCUGGAUUGUAAACUUCUUUUAUAUGGGACGAAAAAAGACUUUUCUAAGUCGUCUGACGGUACCAUAUGAAUAAGCACCGGCUAACUCCGUGCCAGCAGCCGCCGUAACAC